CCUGUUCGAGCGUCAUUAUGACCACUCAAGCCCGGCUUGGUGUUGGGGUCCGCGGUCUCGCGGCCCUUAAAAUCAGUGGCGGCGCAUCUGGCUCUAAGCGUAGUAAUACUCCUCGCUAUAGGGUUCCCGGUGGAUGCUUGCCAUCAACCCCCAAUCUCACGGUUGACCUCGGAUCAGGUAGGGAUACCCGCUGAACUUAA
rnacentral:misc_RNA from 1 species